rnacentral:lncRNA from 1 species
UGGCGUGGUGGGGCUGGCACCUCUUCUGUUAAUGCCUCCUGCUGGCCCUGGAAAACCCCAACCCUUCCUUGUAGUUUAUCUGCAGGGAGAGGCUGCUGUGCUCUUUGAAGUGCAGCCAGAAGGACAUGGCCGGUGUCCUCUUGGCUGAGGUCAGACGCACUGUGCACCUCCCAGUCAGUCAUGAACAAGGUGAUUAUGAGCUAAUAACUUCUAGUUCAGAGCCCCAGUGAGUCCUGACCGGGAAUAACCCCGAAGGUGGCCCAAGGAAAGCGUGGGCGCCGGGACAGCUCUGCUCUGCAGCAACAGGGAGGGAUUCGGUGUUGUGGCACAGUGCCUGCGCCUCUCUUGGCCUGCAGUCAUUAAUCAGGUGGCCAGGUAUGUCCCAGGCAGUGGAGGGUCACAGGGGCCUGCAUGGGGUGAGAAAGAAGACCAGUCCAGGAACAAGGUGGCCCGCACUCAAGGUCCCCUGAGACUUUGUGACAAAGGGGGCCACAGCUCUGAGGCUGCAGAAGGGGCUUGUUGGUUAGUAUGGGGUCCAGGCCCCUGUCCAGGCCACGAAUCAGCCCAUUCUGUCCUCGCUCGGGCACAAUUACUUCCUUCCCCUGCUAAUGUUAUCUGUAUUUUAGACACAGCCUCGAUUGCUGAAGGCGCAAAGUCAUGGCCCCUCCAAGGUCAUUCAAGGCUCUGGAAAGUGAGUCAACUGAUAGCGUGCAGCAGCUCAUGGCUUAUUAGGCAGCAACACUGUGCACACCCCAGAGCUUCCAUUUUCCAACCCAGCCAGUGGGAAGUGUGUUCUCGAAGCCACAAAGAACCCACGCAGAGAGCGCCGCAGAGCAGAAGGAAACCAGCGGGUAGCAGAGAUAACUGCGUCCAGAGAGGGAGUGGGAUCUGCCCAGAGCUGCCCAGCAGACCAGCAGAACCCAGUUUGAGAAUGUCAUGUUUUGAUCAUCCCCUCUGCGGGCCCCCACACAACACACGCCCACUGGCCUUAGGUGUCCCAGGAGGGGCCCUGGAUGUGGCUGCUGCUUUACCUCGAAUGUAGAGACGCUCAGUAGUUUCUACAACUGCAGCAACCCCUCUGCAUGGUGGGCCAGAGCCAGGUGCCAAGGACAAUGCCAGAGAAAGGAAGACAUGACACAGUCCUUACCCUCCAGGUCCUUGGAGGUGGGAGGCCCAACUCGGACAUUCACUUUUUUUCAGCCCAGCUACAGAUUUAAGAUGCUAGAGACAGAGUGUGAUCUUGACCACUAACACAUGGUCCUAUGUCAAAAACCCUGGGAGGAAGGGGUUGGUGUGCCCAUUUUACACAUGGGGAAACUGAGGCUCAGAGAGUGUUAUGAUUUAUAUCGAGAAGUCCCCCAAGCCUCAUGUGUCAUAGGCAGGGCUUUUGAAAGGUGACUGGAUCAUGAGAGUUUCUAGCUGACUUGCUUUCAGGAGGCAGAGCCUGGUCAGAAGAGGUGGGGCACAGGCAGUGUGACCAGGAAAGGCCUAACUCCCUCCCAGCUCCUCCCCUGAAACGCCCUGCUUUCUGGGCCCCAUGCCCUUAGCAGCUCUCCUCCACUAUGCCCAUGGCCACACCAUCUUGCGUUAAGCCAGCCAAAUGUAGACUGAAGCUCCAGCCAAUAGGCCUUUCCUUCCUUAUAUUGUGGAUGUUGGGUAUUUUGUCCCAGCAGCAUGGGAAGUGAUUAAGACAGAGAUUGCUAUUUGCCUGAGGUCACACUGCUAGUCAGUAGCAGAGUUUAAAACAGAGCCCAGGAUUUGAAACUCCAAACUCUUUCACCUUUCCCCAAUACCCCUUACUUGUGUCUGUCUCCUCCCUGCAGUUGCGCUAAUUUUCUUCCAAUUUUGUAUUUGGUUUGGUCGUGCACCAUCAGUUAGACAGGAAGUUCCUUGAAGGUAGAUGCUCCUUGUGCCUUCUCUCUGCCUUCCAUGGACACAGAGCACAUAGUAGGUGCUCCAGUGACCUUCUAGGACCAAGUGGACAGAGACCCUUAGUGACACAGUCUCCUCAAUACAGCCUUAAGAUUCUUAGACUUGUCCCUGUCCCUCAUCCUCUAGUCCACACACACACACACACACACACACACACACACUCCCUGCAAAAUCUAAUAACAACCAGUUUAAAAACACACUAAAAACAGAAAAUUUAUGUAGCAUGACCCAAAUUGAAUUAUACAUUACAGCACUAUAAUUGAUUUUUUAGAAGAGAGAUUAAAUUUAUUUUAUGCCUCACUAACUAACAGCUAGAUUUACCUAAUUGCUUGGAGUGCGGAGUUAGUAUGAUUCAUUAAACUCCAUACAUGCUUGGGUACGCUGCACACUGAGUAAAGCUUCCUGCUCGCAGCAAUUAACGAGGAGAAACCAGGCCGCUCCAGUAAUUGCUGAGAACAAUGCUGCCCCAAGUUUGCUUCGAGUGUUUUAUUCAGUUCUCCGUGCAAAAUGCAGAUAUGGUGCCUUCUGGUAAAGCUGCUCUGACAAACUGGAGGCAACUAAUACUCUUUCUCUCCCUAAUUCUGCUACGGUGGAAAGUGGAAGACAGAGAGAAAAGGGGAAGAGGAAAAAUGGAGGUCUUAUCUUGGUUUAAUUACAUCAAUCAUAACAGUUCUUUUAAAAAUCUCACCAUCAUCUGACAGCAAGCAGGCAAAGUCAGCCAGGCUAACAAAGAGUGAGUUUGGGUAGAUCAGGGAGUGCUCGGUAAUUAUAUACACAUUAUCAAAAAGGUAGCAAUUUAGGAGAACUGGAAAAAAAUAUGCUAAUUUUGAUAGCAAGAGAAAAUUAUAACUCUCUGAGCCAUUUAUUUAUUAAUUAUUAGUAGUAAUAAAGAACAUUUCCAAGUGGCAUCCAUUCACAUAAUAAGUGUGAUUCCCGUCCUCGGUGCACAUGCCUGUCUGAACGUGUCUACAAGUUCUACAUUCUGAUUUUUCACACAGACUCUCAGGACCAGGGAGAUGAAUGUUUUGACUGGUCCAUCUAUGAAGUGAGGUAUACAUUUCUCCAUCCCUAUCAUCCUUUCCAUUCCAGGCUUUUGCAGUUAUGGAAACGGAACAAAAUGCAUUUGUAUCCCCUCCCCAAAUCUCUAGGGUGCCUGUGCCCUGUAUUUUGGGGUUGGAGCAAUUCGCUUUGCUCUUAGAGAGGCAUUUAAGAAUAUAAAAGUGUCAACCAUGGCUUUCAUCUUCUAGGAGUGGACAAUAGACUCGGGGAGGCAAGAUAAACUGCACAUCAAUUAUGAUACCCACUUUCCUGUCCAUGCGGAGCUCCCAGAGUAUGGACCUGGACAUCUCACAGCCUGCCAAAGCUGACUGGGCUAAGGAUGGACAUGUGACCCCACAGACCAAUCACAGUCUUUCUUCUGGGAAUCUGGAAUUGAAAUGACAACCACAGAGAUCAGUGGUUAUUUGGAGUUGAGGCACAUGGAGGUGGACACUGCAGGGUGAUGUUCUACCAACUCCUUCUUCUGAGGUCUCCAGAGCUACUUAGGCCUGGAGGUUCUGCUCCUCCAUUAAUUCUGUAGAUGCCCCAGGAUCUUUCCCUCAAAUCUUCCUUUUGGCUCGAGUCACCUAGAGUCAGUUUCUGUUACUUGUACCCAAAUCAAUGUGGCAGAGCCUGGCUGGAGGCAGCAAACACCAGCCAUGCCAUGACCUGGGAGCAUCCCUGCCUCUGUGUCACAGACACUUGGUCAUGCAGGGUCUGUGCUGGUGCACCAGUCCCUUGAAUCGACACAGCUCUUCAGGGCAGCCUCACUUGACAGAUGGGGAAACUGUGGUGCAGAAAGCCCAAGUGACUGCCCUGAUCCAGAGAUCUACAAAGUAGCAGAAGCAGGACUUGAACUUGGGCCCACCUGAUACAAACAAAACUCAAAUGUUUUCCUCUGUGACAGCUGAUGGAAUUGACCCAGGGAGGCUCUGGAAGCAUAUACAUAUAUAUGUCAGUUGCAAGGGAAAUAGAUUUAAUACAGGAUGCAUAAUUUAUAGGAUUAUUUUAUGUUAUUUUUUGGUAUUGGGAAUUGAAUUCAGGACUUUGCACUUGCCAGGCAGGCAUGGUGCCACUGAGCUAUGUUCCCAGCCCCAAUAUAGGAUUAUUCUAUAAUAGUCACCCAAAAAGUCAAAUGCAGAGUAGUGCACACUAGAGACCCAAAGAAUCUAGCUGAGGGCCUGGAUCUCACAGCAGUGUCCCACACAAGUCCAGCUGAAGGCCUAGAAUCCACGGCAAUGUCUCAUGCUUGUCUGUAUGGAAGAUCUGCAUCAGGAAGGCCCAAAGGUCAGUGAUGGAAGCUAGAAAGCCAGCGCCAGCAGGGUGAGGGAUUUGUGCACCAGGCUGAGGGAUCUACAGUGGAGCCAGGAAGUGAUGCUCAUGGCAAAGAUCAGAGCUCCCCUGAUGAGAACAGCAGCCUUUCUCAGCAACAGCAAGGACCCGAGAUCCUUCUCUGACAAGAACAGCCAGGUUCACAUCAGGAAAACCAACCGUAGCAAGCUUCUAGAAAAUCAAGAGCCCAUGGUGUUCACCUCCAGUUCUCUUUCUAUGCCAUUGGCAACAGUCCUCAGGUGGGUCUUCCACACCCAGACCAUGCUGAUUCAGUUCAGCUGAGCGUUCCAAGUUGACCAUUAGUUAAUCCACCACACACACACACACACACACACACACACACACACAGAGGUUUUGAGGGAUCCUGGAAGUCCAGGCAUGCUGAACUCUAUGACUCUGCGGUUUGAUGCAUCUGGGGUCUGAGCUUGUGUCUGAGGCUGUGUGAGGGAAGAGCUGGCCCUGUCCUCACAGAGCCUCUGGUCAGAAGGGAAACCAAGCUUCACGGCCUGGGGCUCCUUGCAUCCGACAUCCAUCUGUUCAUGGCCCUAGAAGAGAGGCCUUUGCCCCUGGAAACCCUGUAAUGGGUUCCUGAGGGAAGAGACUUGCCCACAUACUGGGUAAGCACCCAUGGCCCCUCGGUGUCCCACCUGUGUGGUGCAACCACUGGGAAAUGCAAAGGCACAGCCCCCUAUCUGAGGAUCCUCAAGGAUGCUCACAGUACAGAGGGACCUCAAACUGUCAGGGAACUGGUCAGGGAUGGCCUUGAGGGCCAGGGCUGAUGCCUUGAUAAAGCAAGACAGGAAAACCCCUGAGCUGGGGGCCUGAGACCCUGCCUGGUGCCUCUUUCUUGGAAUCUAUUGGUGUGGCACUUUCUCGCUGUGGGCCUCAGUUUCCCCACUGCAGAUGGAAAGGGGAGGCAGGAAGCCUCAGGCCUGGCUCUAGAACAGUUUGAUCAUGCAGACUUCCCGAGCUAGGCACUGAGAGCCCUCGCAGGUGUGCAGAGGAGUCUUCUCUCUCUGCUACCAGCCCCGGGUUCCCCCACUUGGCCAUGUGGAUAC